GAUGAACGCUGGCGGCGUGCCUAAUACAUGCAAGUCGAGCGAACGGACGAGAAGCUUGCUUCUCUGAUGUUAGCGGCGGACGGGUGAGUAACACGUGGAUAACCUACCUAUAAGACUGGGAUAACUUCGGGAAACCGGAGCUAAUACCGGAUAAUAUUUUGAACCGCAUGGUUCAAAAGUGAAAGACGGUCUUGCUGUCACUUAUAGAUGGAUCCGCGCUGCAUUAGCUAGUUGGUAAGGUAACGGCUUACCAAGGCAACGAUGCAUAGCCGACCUGAGAGGGGGAUCGGCCACACUGGAACUGAGACGCGGUCCAGACUCCUACGGGAGGCAGCAGUAGGGAAUCUUCCGCAAUGGGCGAAAGCCUGACGGAGCAACGCCGCGUGAGUGAUGAAGGUCUUCGGAUCGUAAAACUCUGUUAUUAGGGAAGAACAUAUGUGUAAGUAACUGUGCACAUCUUGACGGUACCUAAUCAGAAAGCCACGGCUAACUACGUG
rnacentral:rRNA from 1 species